rnacentral:rRNA from 1 species
GGGCCCGCACAAGCGGUGGAGUAUGUGGUUUAAUUCGAUGCAACGCGAAGAACCUUACCAGGGUUUGACAUCCUGCGAAUCUCUUGGAAACAGGAGAGUGCCUUCGGGAACGCAGUGACAGGUGGUGCAUGGCUGUCGUCAGCUCGUGUCGUGAGAUGUUGGGUUAAGUCCUAUAACGAGCGCAACCCCUAUCGUUAGUUGCCAGCGGGUAAUGCCGGGAACUCUAGCGAAACUGCCGGUGCAAACCGAGAGGAAGGUGGGGAUGACGUCAAAUCAUCACGGCCCUUACAUCCUGGGCUACACACGUACUACAAUGCUACGGACAAAGGGCAGCAAGUUCGCGAGGACAAGCAAAUCCCAUAAACCGUGGCUCAGUUCAGAUCGUAGGCUGCAACUCGCCUACGUGAAGGAGGAAUCGCUAGUAAUCG